rnacentral:lncRNA from 1 species
CGCGGCGCCGCGAUCGCGCGCUCCGGAGCCGCGGAGGCCGAGGCAGCGCGAGCGCAGGCCCCGCAGCAGCCCCGCGACCCCUCGGGCGCUCGGGCCAGGCUCAGGUCCGGAAGCUACGUCCCCGGGAGACGAGGGCCCCGCAUCUGAUUCUUGCGCCUGGCUAUCCUCGCAGCGGAGCAAACAGAUGAGCCACGACACAGCCGUGUGGAGCACGUCAGACCCUUCCCUCCGAAAGUCACCAGCAAGGACAGAGGAGAAAGGACUCUGCACACCCACAGAGUGAAAGAGCAACCUUCCCUGCAGACAUAGGCCAACCGGGGCCCAGGUGGAGUGGCCCACGUCUGCUUCCUUCCUGCUGCACCGCAGAGGACCCUGGCCUGUUGUUUCGUGGCUUCUCUCUAAAACUCCUCUCCACGCUGGGCAGGGCGGUGCACACCUGUCAUCCCAGCACUCAGGAGGCUGAGGCAGGAAGAUCAUAGUGAAUUCCAGGCCAGCCUGAGCUACAAAGUAAGAUGCUGUCUCAAAAAAC